rnacentral:rRNA from 1 species
CCUACGUGCGGCAGCAGUGAGGAAUAUUGGUCAAUGGGCGGAAGCCUGAACCAGCCAAGUAGCGUGCAGGAUGACGGCCCUACGGGUUGUAAACUGCUUUUAUACGGGAAUAACGCGCCUUACGUGUAGGGCUUUGCAUGUACCGUAUGAAUAAGGAACGGCUAAUUCCGUGCCAGCAGCCGCGGUAAUACGGAAGGUCCGGGCGUUAUACGGAUUUAUUGGGUUUAAAGGGAGCGUAGGCCGCAUGUCAAGCGUGCUGUGAAAUGUCCGGGCUCAACCCGGGCCCUGCAGCUCGAACUGGCGUGCUUGAGUCGGCGGAAAGCAGGCGGAAUUCGUGGUGUAGCGGUGAAAUGCUUAGAUAUGACGAAGAACCCCGAUUGCGAAGGCAGCUUGCUGCAGCGGAACUGACGCUGAUGCUCGAAAGCGCGGGUAUCGAACAGGAUUAGAUACCCGAGUAGUC